CAAUUAGCUUUUGCGUCUUAAUUCUUCAACAUCAUUCUAGCAGGAUUUUAAACACAAAUCAAAUAGGAAAACAAAGUGGUCUGAUUCAGUCACAGAUUAUACUUUGUUCACUGGCUAGACCGCUAAUAAAUUAUUAUUGCUACUUUUUUAGAACAAUGUGUUCAAAACUGACCAUCAACUACUGGGUUGUCUGGAAGACUGGAAAUAUAUUCUUACCUUUCAGAGACUAGUCUUUACCUUUAAGAUAUUUUAGCCUCUGAAAUGCCUAAAAGUAGGUGGUGAGCUUUAAAUGACUGCUACUCUCUCCAUGAGCUUAACAGUUCCUGACUUAAGAAUGAACAAAUCCAGGAGUUCCCGUCGUGGCACAGUGGUUAACGAAUCCGAUUAGGAAUCAUGAGGUUGCGUGGGUUUGAUCCCUGGCCUUGCUCAGUGGGUUAAGGAUCCAGCGUUGCCAUGAGCUGUGGUGUAGGUCGCAGACACGGCUCGGUUGCUGUGCCUCUGGUGUAGGCUGGCAGCUCCAGCUCUGAUUAGACCCCUAGCCUGGGAACCUCCAUAUGCCACGGGAGCGGCCCAAGAAAUGGCAAAAAGACAAAAAAAAAAAAAAAAAAAAAAAAAAAAAGAACAAAUCCAUGAGUGUUUUAUUAGUUUUCACUGUAUUAAGUCCACUGCAAAAGUUUACUUUUUUCAAGUUUAAGAUACUACACACAUGGAAAAAACACAAUCCUAUGUAGACAUGAGAACAAUCACAGGAAAUGAUACCAGGUAGCAAGUCAUACUUUACAUUUCUACAAGGCAUUACAAUUUUCAGACUACUUUCAUGAUACUUUUUGUAUUUUAUUCUCAUAGUAAAUCUAUAAUGAAUGUAGAAUAAAAAAGGAAGGAGACAUAAACACAGAACUCUAAAGAUGAAAGUGACAUUAAAGUCCAUCAUAACACUUUUUUACAGAUCAGCAAAUAGAGACCAGAGGAAAAUGAGGCCCAUUGCCCUCUUGCACAGCCUGUCUGCAAGUAAAUAAAGUGAAGACUGGUCACCAGAAGCAUUAUAAAAACGGGUCACAAAAAUAAGAGAAGAAAGAGAAACAUGAUGGCAGUAGAGGACACUAAUUAUGAUUUAACACUUUUUGGUUUCUAAAAAGCAAUUCUAUUGAACUAAAGUUUGAAAUUCAGUGUUGUUCUCUAAGGACCACUUAGCUAUGGUGGUUUUAUGCAAUUACGAGAUUCCUUAGAGAGAAAUAAUAUUUUGAGAUCUAAGUAUGUGCAAACCUCUGAAGAACAUAUAGUAGUUGUAAAUAGCAUACACACAAAACCUUAAAAUUCACUACAUUACUAUGGAAAGGAGCCUAAACAUUCUAUAGUUUACUUGAGAAGUUAUUCAUGCAUUUCCUACACACUCAUGCUUGAUCAAUCUUCUACUCUCCCAAUCCAGAGAGAGAGUCCUAGUUGAGUAUCUUAAUAUUGUGGCCUCUUACAUGAUAAAAUUUGAAAGUAAUUUUGCCUUAAAGGACAAUAUAUUAGAAGUAUAUAUUUUCUGUUACAGUAUUCUCAAAAACAAUGCAUAGGCCAGGCCCUAACAUCUUUUAUUCAAAAGGCAAUAGCCAUUUCCAUGAUUCGGUCCAUAAUAUUUUUAAAAAUGUGCAUCUGGGAUAUCAUCAUAAGUCUAAUAAGAGACUGCAUUAUAGAAAAAAGACAAAUCUCUACAUUUGAAUCAAUACUUAUUUGUUAUCAGAAUGCAUGAUAAUAACCUCAACAUUUUAAAAAUGCUUUUUGACACCUUUUAAACAUCUGGGAAUGUAAAACACAAUGUCUGAAACACUAUGGAAAGUUUUAUGAUUCUCCUAAAAAAAUGAAAAACAAAUAUCUCUAUUUCCAUUCCAGAUCUGCACAAUAUAUUCUUGCAUCCCAUUUGCUCUGAUUCAUUUACAUUUUGCUGAGUUUUGUUUUCAUUCACUUUCAUCAAUAAAAGGAUUAAAAAAAAUCAACAACAAAAAACCCUCAAAAGAUGCUUUCAGAUGAAAUUGCAAAGAAAAUAAGUACAUGAAUUAGUGAAGCAACAUCCAAGUGUAUACAAAUGUGGCAGUUACAUCUUUUCUCAUCUUGUCCGAGGAUUAAUUGCACUGUUGAAGUUAGGCAUCCAGCCUGAUCCAUGCAGACAGGAGCCCAAGCCAGAAGCAAACUCUUUGAAUAACAACACUGCUUUCUGAUUCUUUUCACAUGGCUACAUUUUUGACAUUUCCUUCAAUGUUCUACCCAGUUGCAGUGUGACUCUGACAAAAGAUUUCUGUAGGCAUCUCUGGCACAUCUGUGGUGAGUGGCAGGUAAUGGAAAGAAGUAACAAGUCCCUUUAGUGGCUCCAAAACACCCACAGGCAUUCUGCAAACCUUUUGUGUACAUGUUGCAGGUAAAGAAUAUAAAAAAGUAGAAACCGUGACGACAAUUUUAAUAAUUUGACAGACAAUUCUAUGAUCUACUCUAACUUUAUAAAGACAAAGUCACUGACACAGGGGAGAAUGACAGGAAUACAUUCUCCCUCUGCCUCUUAAGUCUCUUUAAAUGUUUACAUGAGGGUUUUACAGGUGGAUGGAGAUGACGUUAACACUGUGUUUAUUUACUCUGACCAAGGAUGAAUUAUAAAUGUUUAAUUCAACUGCAAUGGGAUUUUCUUAGAUAUUUUUAAUUUGAUUUCACUUUUGAUACUAAAUCGCUUAUCUGAGCUCUAGAACUUCCUCCCAGGACCCUGGUAGCUGUCAGGUGUCAGUAAUCAUAGUUAGCCCUUCUGUAGUCAGUGUGACCUAAAGUUCUGUCUACAAGGUAGCAAUUAGAGUCAAGUCUCUUCUGGAAAUGCCAAUUACGGCUCUUUAUAUUCUCUGUUGAAUGUCUCCUUAAUGUAAGAAUGACUUAACAUUUUUACCCUAUCAAAUCGGAAAAUAUUACUUAAAAUAGCACCCAUAGUUGGUAAUAGUGCAGGAAAGGAAGCAUGCCCAAAGAGGACGGUGAAAUGUAAAAUGGAACAACCUUUCCAGAAAACAAUCUAAUAACACAUAUCUUGAUGUGUUUAUCCUCCUAUAUGCACUGAUAUUAUUUGGGGGAUAUUACCCUAUACCUUUAAAUAUUCUCUAAAACCAGAACUUUAAUAUAUGUGUGGCGUUUUGUAAUAUGAAUAUAACAUAGUUUUUCAUUGUUUCUGUAUUUGUCAAAUGUCAAUUUUUGUUAUUGUAAAUAAUGCUAUAGAGAGCAUCUUUAUAAGUAUAUUUUAAAAUUGCAUUCUAUUUAUUCCUUAGGAUAGAUGCCUAGAAGUGGAAAUAUAGCCAUUAGCAAGGUUUACCUUCAAGGAUAAUUUUGUCCUAGAAACUAAGGAAUUAUGACCAGCAAACCAAUUCCUAAAAUAUAAUUCCACUAGAUCAGAUCAUUGUUUACUAGGAAAAAUAUAUGUGGUAAAACUGACCUUGCUUAUUUACACAGCCUUGAUAAUAGGUAAUUCCUCGGAGGAAGCCAAAUCAGAUCACAUGUAUGAUUGAGUAAAUCAUUGACUCAAAAAGGACAAAUCAGGUCCUACCAAAAGGACAUUCAUUUCAAGCAAAGGCACAGUCUGCUGAGUUUAUUGCCUUCUGUCCUAGAGAAAAAAUCCUCCCCCAGGUCCAUUAAUAAAGCCCAUGAACAAAUUCUUACCAUCAUUGGUUUGCAUGAGUUUGCCUCUCUUUUGAAGCCAGAUAAACAACCUGAGUUUAUAAAACUGAAAAGCCAGAAUGUUAUGAAACAUUCUGAAGUUGCCAAAACGUACUUCCCUGAUGGGAUGAGUAGAGAUGAAACUGUCUAGAAGCUGUUCUAAAGGAAAGUGUCAUUGACCCUUAAAUUAAAACGCCAGAAUUUAGAAGUCAGUGAAUAAUGACACAUCCACUUAUCAACCUGUCAUAUUGAGAAAUAUUUAAAAUAAAAAUACUCACUGUUGGCAAGAGAACAAUAUAGCUUCAUGCUCAAACAGAUUUAGGGAAGAGCGAGAGCUGAACAAAGUUCAAGUUGAUAUUUUAAUGUGCUAUUAUGAACCAGGACUCUCCAUAAAGGGCUGUAGCUAGUAGCAUUUCUAAACUUAACCUAGCAAACUCUUCUUGUUUUAAGUGGCCUUUUGUAUUUGGCUCUUGGGUUUCUGUUGAGAACCUCAAGGGAAAACACUCUGUGGAACACUUUUAGUAAAUGUUUCUCUAGCACAGCAGUUCCCAAACAUUUUGGUCUCAAAAUCCAUUCACGCUCUCAAAAACUGUCAAGGGCUUCAAAGAGCUUUUGCUUAGGUAAGUUAUAUCCAUGGAUGUUUAGCACAUGAGAAAUUAAAAGACAAUAUUUUAAAACACUACUAAUUCAACUUAAAAUAACCAUAAUAAAUCCAUUAUAUGUUAACAUAUAUAACAUAUUUUCUAAAAUGAAAAAGCUAGUGAGAAUAGUGGCAUUGUCUCAGAGUUCUGAAAAUCGUUUUAAUGUUUGGCUUCACAGAAAGCUGGUAGAUUCUCAUACCUGCUUCUGUGCUGUGUCAUGAUCUACUGUUUUGGAUUGAAGUCAGGGAAAUCCAAGAGGAAUAUUUUCUUAUUGAAAUAUAAUUGAUUUACAAUAUUAUAUUAGUUUCAGGUGCACAAAAUAGUGAUUCAAAAAUUUUUAUAGGAGUUCCCAUUGUGGCUCAGCAGGUUAAGAACCUGACUAGUAUCCAUGAGGAUGCGGGCUGGAUACCUGGCCUCACUCAGUGGGUUAAGGAUCUGGCAUUGCCUCAAACUGCAGGAUCAGUCACAGAUGCGGCUCGGAUCCCAUGUUGCUGCAUGUCUCGUAGGCCGGCAGCCACAGCUCUGAUUCAACCCCUAGCCUGGGGACUUCCAUACACCACAGGUGUGGACAUAAAAAGAAAAAAAUCAUUUUUUAUGGAUUAUACACCACUUUUAGUUAUUAUAAAAUAUUGGUCAUAUUCAUUGUGCUGUACAAUACAUCCUUGCAGCUCAUUUAUUUUAUACAUAGUAGUUUGUAUCUCUUAAUCCCCACCUACUAUCUUGCCC
rnacentral:lncRNA from 1 species